rnacentral:misc_RNA from 1 species
AAACAAUCUAUAUGACAAUACAAACCAAAAAGUUAUAAAGUAUGAGGAAUUACACAAGUUGGAAUAACAGAAACACCAAAACAAUCUCUUAGAAGGCUAAUAUUACUAUUGAAAGGACUAAUAUGGUAUGUUCUUAGGGAGGUUACGAAUGACGUUGCUUUUCAUGCCAAUCUUACUGCGCAUUAUCUCCACACCAGACUUGUUCAUGGCUCUCAACACCUUCAACUUAACCAUUUGCUCUCUUGACUGCACAGUUGCAAGACCCAUGCUUCGGUACCUUGCAGCUAAUGCAGCACUUAUAGCCACAUCAUUGGUCCGUGUAGGCCUCAGUUUCUGUCGGUAGUAACGCAAAAACUCUCUUGAUCCAAGAGUCCUAACAGAUCUUCCAUCAUUAUUUCUUCUUGUUAUUAUGAGCUCAGAUCCACCACUUCCAAGUUCCACACUGUUGCCCGUGUCAUCCGAUGAAAUGAGCUGUUUCCCAGAUUCAUCAACAAAGCUGCUGCUAUAGUCAUAAAACUCUUCUAAUUCAGCUUCUUCAU